UGAGAAAUGCAUUAGAGGGUAGCCGUACAGUACAGAAUACAUAUCCCAUUGCUCUGGACAGAAGUGUAGAAAAGCACAACCACACUGAUUGUGUUCUGUGAGUACAUCCUUAGACGAUAAAUUACUCUACAAAUUCCAAGAUGAUCCAACAUGAUAUAAAGAAUGAUCCUGGCCGAGAUUCUCACAAUAGUAUGGUCAACCUGAGUCAUCGAAAAUGGUUUAGAGACACUUAGAUAAGUGGUUGAAAUAUAUAAGCAAUAAAGAAAGUACAUGCACAUGACAAGAGACCAAUUCCAAUUGGAUUUCUUGCACAAACAAAGAUACAUGAUACAAAGCCUUUUUACAAAGCAAGUUGAUAACUUUCGGCAAACCUUGUGGAUGAACCCAAUAAGAAACUAAAACUUUGAAACCAUAUUCUGCUAGGUUUCUUUAAUCCUUUUCAACAUGAGAAUGCAAGAAACUCAUUUCCUUGUGAAACCUUAGACGUUAAUGGAUACCCCAUCAAGCUAGCAUACACAGUUCAUCUAUAAAAUCUACUCCUAUUAACUAAAUCAAGCUAGCAUAGACAAUUUAUAUCCAAAUAGGAUUACAUCUCUUGGGGUCUGGUUACCCAAAUCCAACCAGAGAUCCUCACAUGAGUUGGGGGUGUAGAAGAGCAAAAUGAGCUUACUUGCAAGAAGAAGCCAGAGUCCAGGGUCAGGCAAGUGUUAGACAUGUCGUCACGCGCACCAUUGCGGCUUCUGAUCCAUAUCCCCUGCUUCGCCGUAUGAUGCCACCUGAAAAUAGUGUAAUUUACUGGGAGGGAAAAAACACUGCCUUUCAUACCCGGGUGGGAGGGAAAAAGUCAAUUAGUGUAGAAAAGAGAGACUCUUCUUGAAAGAACAUCCAAUUUUACGGGUCAGUGGCAAAGAAACAAUACAAACAAAACAAGGAAUAAACAAUUAGUGCAGAAAAGAUAGACAUUAAUAUCUUGAGAGUACUUAAUUGCACUACCUAUAUAUUCACACUCACAUAUGUAGUCGAUUUUUUUAAAUUGAAACAUUAUUGGCAUCACUACAUAAAAGUGAAGAAAUGAAACUUUUUGAUGCAAUGAACUUAUAUCUGCAACUUCAGUAGACCACAUAUGCAAUCUCGUUGGUGCGAACUUACUGACCAAGAGACAAAUUGAAAUAAACCGCCACUAAAUUCAGAUAGCAUAUAUAGGUUCAUAUGGCGGUACACAGGUAUGAAUAGAAGUCAAAUACACUAUGGAAAGUAUAGGUUCAUUCUACGCCACCAUAUGUUAUUUUGCAUCUACUGAGACACGCCAGCGUCACCAACUUUCCUUGCAACAAUGGCAGUAAAAAUUGUUCAAAAUUUACCUUUAGUAGUACAAAGAGCAAGCAGAUCAGCGGCCAAUUGCUUGCAUGAUGACAACCGCUGAACUGACAGUGUUCUUGACAGCAAUUACAUGAGUCUGCAAAAAGUGCAAAUAAAAAUUGUUUCACAUUUUUUAGACAAAACAUGAGUAAAUCAUUGUCAUCGACAAAUAAAACAUUCAAUGUGUUGCAGGUUUCCAUACGAGAGCAGAAGAAAUUCCAUUAUAGUGAUAGCUUCCAAUAUCUAUGUACGUUCCUUGACUGAAUACAACAGGAAGAGCAUAAAUCUGCUGUUAAUCAAGAGAAUGAGGCUAAGACUGACCAUGGACUUUCAAGUAGUAAACCACGAUUCCAGAUUUAUGACCCUAAUAGAUCAAGAAAGAGGGGAGAAUAGGGUUUUGCACGAGAAUAAUACCUUCCAUAGGAGCCCAAAAUAAUAAUUCUUGCAUCGCAUGGUUCAACAUCUUCAGCUUGAAGUCGUUCGUGAUCCUCCGACAACAACCAUGAAACGAAAAAAAAAAUCAAAACCCAAAGUAAAGGAUUGCAAAAAUGCCACCACAAGUAGAAAUGUACACAUACAAAAAAUACGAUGCCAUCUCACCGAGGCUGGAAGGGGCAAGAAGUUACUGGAGUUUUCCGUGUGGCGGCGAUGCUUGCUGCUCCUACACCCAUCCAACCAAAGCAAGGGAACAUUUCUGUAGGUCAAAUAAAAUAGUCUAAGAAAACAUGCAACUAUAUACAACAUCAGUGGGAAGUAAACUAACAUAGUCCUCUCUGAAGCAAGCAUGUAGCAACAAUGAGCAUAAAAGAGACACGGGAGAUGCAUAACUGAGAUUAAAAUCAACCUUUUCAUCUUAUUGGCUCUGCACUGGAAGAGGAAAACACAAC
rnacentral:lncRNA from 1 species